AGCGAACGUUAGCGGCGGGCCUAAUACAUGCAAGUCGAACGCGAACACCUUCGGGUUAGUAGAGUGGCGCACGGGUGAGUAACACGUAGGUAAUCUACCCUCUGGCGGGGGACAACGUUCCGAAAGGAACGCUAAUACCGCGUAAGACCACGGCUUCUGCGGAAGCAGUGGGAAAAGGUGGCCUCUCCUUGGAAGCUACCGCCAGAGGAUGAGCCUGCGCCCCAUCAGCUAGUUGGUAAGGUAACGGCUUACCAAGGCGAAGACGGGUAGCUGGUCUGAGAGGAUGAUCAGCCACACUGGCACUGGAACACGGGCCAGACUCCUACGGGAGGCAGCAGUAAGGAAUCUUGGGCAAUGGGCGAAAGCCUGACCCAGCCACGCCGCGUGAGUGAUGAAGGCCUUCGGGUUGUAAAGCUCUGUGGGGAAGGACGAAAAAGCCAGCUUCGAAUAGGGGCAGGCCUUGACGGUACUUCCUUAGCAAGCACCGGCUAACUCUGUGCCAGCCGCCGCCGUAACAC
rnacentral:rRNA from 1 species